rnacentral:rRNA from 1 species
CAAUAGCGUAUAUUAAAGUUGUUGCAGUUAAAAAGCUCGUAGUUGGAUUUCUGGCCGUGCGUGCGUUGUCCGCGAUUCAGAAAGAGUUGUGAGAACGAGGCGCGCCGGUCAAAUUUUCUGGAGGUGGCGGGUGCUCUUGACUGAGUGUCUCGUGUGUACGUCCAGAUCGUUUACUUUGAGAAAAUUAGAGUGUUCAAGGCAGGCAUGAGUUGCCGUGAAUAUGUUAGCAUGGAAUAAUAAGAUAGGGCUUUGGUCGUAUUUUGUUGGUUUCUACAGCCGAAGUAAUGAUUGAUAGGGAUAGUUGGGGGUGCUAGUAUUCUGCGGCCAGAGGUGAAAUUCAGUGAUCCGCGGAGGACUGACUUAUGCGAAAGCAUUCACCAAAGAUGUCUNCUUUAA